UAUGAUUUCAGCUAAAAAAAGGUUUAUAAAUAAUAGUGAUUCAUAUAAUGAAUAUAUGAUGCUGAACUUGAAUAUUAAAGUUUAGUGAUAAGAGCCACUAUGUUUAGAUAUUUAGGAAGUUGAUGGUAGUAUGAGGAGGAACAAUUGGAUCAAAAAAUCUUGUGUUAUAAACAAACAAUCAUUAAGGUGUAUCUCUUGUCAAACACUUGAAUGAUCUGGGAGCCUAGACUUUGCUUUUGUAAAGUUGGAUCUCCUUCAAAUCUCAACAAGCAAGACUUUUCUUCUUACAUCUCUCAAGUCUUGUUUGUCUUUUGACUUGUGAUCUUGCUUCUUGGCAAGAAAUAUAUGACUCAAUUUUUGGAUUCUUUGCUUGCCCUCCGUCUUACCAUGAAUGACAGUGAAAAAUAUUGAUAGGUUUUGUCUUUUGAUAUGACAUUCAUACCGUUGAUGCUUCAUGCUUGUUAUGUGAUUGCAUCCUCAUGUAUUAAUCUGGGAUUGCAGUAUGGAAGCUUGCUCGAAGGUACACUGGAGGACACAAAGGAGCUAUUAAUUGUCUGAUGACAUUCAUGGCUUCUUCAGGCGAGGCAUUGCUGGUCUCAGGGGGAAGUGAUGGUUUACUAAUACUUUGGAGUGCUGAUCAAUUUCAUUUUAUGGCUUUAGUUAGAAGGGCUGUGGUUUCCAGUUGCUUUUGGAACAUUUGAUUAUCCACGAGAUUACGUGUAAUGAGUCUAAUUUAAGUUGAUUUAUUCCUUGGGUAGAUGGUGACUUGUUAAAUUU